UCCUGUACUGAGCUGCCCCGAGGUCCUUCACUGUGCUCAGCUCGGGGCAGCUCAGUACAGGAUG
rnacentral:pre_miRNA from 1 species